CAACCAUCACUCACCCAAUACUGAAAUUGGUCUCUUUGAAUCACCCAAUACUAAAGGGAAAUCUUGGAUUGGGAAUCCGGGUCUUCAAUUUCGAAACCCAAUUAGGUCAUUCUCUCUUUCUCGCUCGUCUUCUCCGGCACGACACCAACAACUUGUCUUCUUCCCUAUAACAAUCAUCAUUUCUCACUUCCUGUCUCAACUCUCACCUUCUUCACCUCUACAACACAACGGAGGAGAGAGAAAGCACGCAGAUGAGAAAGAAUUCGAGGAGAGAGAAAACAGAUCUGGGAUUUCUCUCUCCUCCAUUGCUAACGAUGCUGGGUAUGGGUAGAGCUCCUAGUAGCGGAACCUCUCUUUUCAAUCAUCAAGUUCUCUCUUGACCUCGCUGCAUCGCCGCAGUGGCAGUGGGAAAACGCCACCGCCUGCGCCGUCGCCUGAUUCGCCACCGUCGCCGCUAUGCAUCCCCUCGACGUUGUGUGCACCAGGUUUCAAGUUAAUGAGGUCGAAUCUUCAAUCUUCUGACUUGCAAUAACACUGGGACGCUAUCUUCACCAUUGCUCGAUAUAUUGGAGGGACUGAGAGGAUCUAUGCCUCUAUGGAGGCUUCUCUCCUGCUGUGAUCGGUUCUACUCUAUGGAGGUUUAUAUUUCUUCAUGUUUGAGAGCCCCAGU